GGAUGCGAUCAUACCAGCACUAAAGCAUCGGAUCCCAUCAGAACUCCGUAGUUAAGCGUGCUUGGGCGAGAGUAGUACUAGGAUGGGUGUCCUCCUGGCAAGUCCUCGUGUUGCAUUCC
rnacentral:rRNA from 1 species